GCAGGGGCCAGGGGGGCCCAGACCGGCGGUGACGGACCGCGGAGGGGCUCAGAGUCCGACGGACACAGAGAACCUCAGAGGCGGACGGAGGAGGUGUGUGGAGCGGCGGCAGCCGAAGCGGGUAGCGCCACAGCAGAAAAUGACGGCACACAACAGAGCAAACCCAGGAGAAGAAAUAGCAACGACAACGUUCGUCCAAAUUUGACAGAACAGAAUCCAUUGCACGAGAGCUUGAAAGAGAAGAAACAUGGAAUACUGGAGCAGGAAAACCUGAACUGAUAAACCAUGGAAAAGGUGUUGGAAACUGAUGGAAAAGCAGUUCAUGCACACUGGUUUCUUUAAGCCUACACCAUUCAUUAUGCAGUUUUCCAGUAUUUCCAGUAAUUUACAAGAGAGUCAAUCACAACCAAGUUCAAUCCUGAAAAGAGAUUGAACCAUUAUUACAUAUUUGAUGAUUUCAUGCACAACAAGCAUUACUAUUGCUACAUGUUUACACGAUUAAUCUACAAGGGUUCAAGUUUUUAUCUAUGUGAUCGCUCUAGCACUUGGAACGGUACUUCCCUCUAGGGUAUUCAGCACUCUUGCUUAUGAUUUGCACUUUAUUGUGACGUUGCCCUGGAUAAGAGCAUCUUCCAAAUUACUAGAAAGGAAAACCCCAACAUUUUUGGAAAUAACCCGAAGCUGUGUUAUUUACACAAGCUAUCAUGUGUAUUUGAAACACACGUGCGGGAAAAAAUUAAAACGAGACAUUGUUAGACGGUUGGAAUUAUAACCGCUGAACACACAUGCUUCCUCUUCCUUCUUCCGCUGGUUGAGCGCAGUGAUCCCCACACCUCAUGCACGUCUCUCGCUUCUACACAUUUUCUCCCGCAUUUAUAAAAACACAAGAUAGCUUGUGUAAAUUAGACAACUUUGGAGUUGCUGUAAGGUGUAUUUCUUCACUUUAGGCUACUGGGUAGGCUACUGACUCCUAUAGGCUUCAAGUCUUUAUGCUAAGCUAACAAGUUAUGCUAACAUGGAAAUUGAGCCAGUGAAUACACAAAUAUGAAAUUAAAUCGACCAUCUGAGUAAGUCGGAAAAAUUGUAUAUUUCCCAAAAUGUUGGUGUUUUCCUUUAAUGUAUUGUAAUUAUAUUUUGAUCACUAUGCAGACCAAGGAACUGUACACAGCUUACUUUUUAUUUUUUUAAAUUUUAUUCUUUCAUAUAGAUAUUUACUACAGUACCUUUCUUGAAGAUGAAAGUAACAGUGUUCGUCUCUCUUCCAUGUUGCAAACAGGUUUAGUUUACAAAAACGUCUGGCAAAAACCAGGUGUCUUCACCAUUUGAGUGUGGAGAGUUAAUCUGUAAAAGUAUUUCACUUUUCAGUCAAACUUCAAUUUCAAUUAAUGAAAUCAUAUUGACUUU